rnacentral:rRNA from 1 species
AACGAACGCUGGCGGCAGGCUUAACACAUGCAAGUCGAACGCCCCGCAAGGGGAGUGGCAGACGGGUGAGUAACGCGUGGGAACGUGCCCUUCGCUUCGGAAUAGCCCCGGGAAACUGGGAGUAAUACCGAAUACGCCGUAUUGGGAAAGAUUUAUCGGCGAAGGAUCGGCCCGCGUUGGAUAGCUAGUUGGCGGUGUAAUGGACCAACAAGGCGACGAUCCAUAGAUGGUCUGAGAGGAUGAUCAGCCACACUGGGACUGAGACCCGGCCCCGCAUCCGACGGGAGGCAGCGGUGGGGAUUCUUGGACAAUGGGCGCAAGCCUGUUCCAGCCAUGCCGCGUGAGUGAAGAAGGCCUUAGGGUUGUAAAACUCUUUCGCCGGAGAAGAUAAUGACGGUAUCCGGAGAAGAAGCCCCGGCUAACUUCGUGCCAGCAGCCGCCGUAAAAC